GUCACGCCUCGUGCCUAAACCUAACCAAUCCGGCCAACGAAGGCAACGAGUACUAGCCAAUCGGAGGCAGAAUAGGGCGGGUCGUGACUUCGUCAUCCUAGGAAAAAAAUAAUUUGCCAACGGGAGAAGGGAAGGAGGCGGCUGUCAAGCGAAACCAUGACAACCCCGGAUAUUGGGCGAAACAAGUUUCAAAAUAACCUCUCGUCUCUAACUUACUAUUUUUAACACAUUCAAGCAGUGUGUGAAAUGCAAGUGACUUUCUGUAAAUGUUAUUAAAUCUUUGAGCAUUUUUAUUAUAAAAAUAAAAACAUGAGGGAUGUAAUUUUAAGCGAUUUUCUUAAUCGAUAAUCGGCCGCAUUAACAAUCGAUUAUCGAUUAAUCAUUAACAAUUUAUGAAUUACGGUGGACAUAUUUUUCCAUCAUUAAAAGAGUAACAGCAAAUACUUGUAACGUUGUCCAGCAAACAUCUACACAACAUUUUCAGUUACACCGCAUGUCCCUCAUCUUCUGUGUUAUCGGUUAAUACAGUUUUUAAAUCGCUUAAAUUAUUAACAGCAAUUAAUCGAUAAUCAAUGAAUCAUUGACAUCCCUAAAAAAUAUAUUGCAAUUAAACCUUUUAUGGCAUUUCAAUGCAAUUUGCUCCGCCUCUGCGUACUUGAAACGUCCAAUAAAACAUGUGAACGUGAACUAAUUCAUAAUGUAUACAAAAAGUCUCGAUCUCUUGUAUCGUGCCUAACUUUUGUGGAUCAUAACAUAUCAGGUAUGGAAUUAAUCUGCAGACGCUCCUGUUCAAGAUGAGAACAAACUUUUCUGUGGAUGUCAGUUUUUGAGCCACAGCAAAGGCCAAAAUGCGGCCUGCAGAUUACCAGAAAUACCCCAACUGGCCGGUUAAGAGGAGUCAAUGACGGUAUGAAACGUGUUAUAAAAUAGGUUUUUCAACAAUUGUGAAUCACUGCAACCACGAGAGGUCCUUGAGCAUACAGUCAUACAUGUGCACAAAAAAUAUUAGGCUGAUAGGUCCAGUAGUAUGCAGGAUUAGCUGUGGACAGAUACACACACACACACACACACACACACACACACACACACAACCAAAUACAUGAUCUCCUCUAGGCUUACACCUAGUAGAGAUAAAUAAAUAGACCAAUUAAAAACGCAACCGAGCUUCUUCUUGUCAAGCUACUUGGAUCUAGUGGCUGAAGUUAUGUCUAUUCUGGUUUGGAGGUACCGUCCACAGCACCAGGACCCCCCUGAUUGUCACACUGCAUUCAAGAGUGAUAAAACAAGGCGCUGAGGUCGCAUUGAUUAGGGUUCCUGCUCACAUUCUGGGUGACGAAAGAGUGGACAAAAUAGCCAAACAAGCAAUUAGAGUAAAGGAAAGGAAACAGAGACAUCAUCAUCCAUCCAAACCCUCAAAAUCAGAGGUAAAGGGUGUUGUGUGGAAGAAGAUCAAUGAAGAGUGGCAACAGCACUGGGAUCAGGAGAUAAGGGGGAGACAAUUGAUUCAAAAUAGAGUGAGGAAACAGAGGAGGGGGUAAUAAUAACUAGAUUAAGAAUAGGACACAGCGAUCUAUACAGCAUACUUAAUAUUAGAGGGAAGCACCCAACCGGUCUUUGUGAGCAUUGUCAAUUACUAUUAACUCAUUAAAAUACAGUUUCAGAUUUUUUUUUGCUUAUGAAAACAGAAAAAAGGGCAAUUUCACUGCUUUUUCCCCCAUCCAGAUUAAAAAAAACACUAUACUUAGACUUGUCAAAUCUUAAUAAUAAUAAUCUGAGUUUUAACGAGUCUCUGGGGUCUCCUUAUUAAUCUAGUCCAGAUUUGACAAGUCUAAGUAUAGUGGUUUUUGAUCUGGAUCUGUUUUAAUGGGGUGUGUAUGGGGGGAAAGCCGUGAAAUCGCCCUUUUUUAAUGUAAUUAUAAACAAAAUAUAGGUUUUCAAUAUCUGAAAGUGGGUUUAAACAGCGUCAAGGCUUUCUCUGCGAUGUCUAACACCUUUUUUCACAAGUGUAAAAUGGUGAAAAAACGGAGAAUUAGCCGCUAAAUCUAUAUUUUUUUAUGUUUCCCUUAAAUGUUCCCUUGACUACGAGUCGGAAGCUAACUUCAGCCUCAAUUCUUGAGCUUACUUCGUACAUUUUUUAGAGAUUAAGUUUGUUAACCUCUGAGAAAAGCCCAAUAAUUAAUCUUUUCGUGCAGAUAUUUAACGAUAAUAAGCUACUUAACAGCCGGUAGCGGAAGAGACUUCGCAUUAGCGCCGCGUUUUGAUUAUUUGAUUAACACAAUUUUUAAGCCUCAAACCCAGGUGUGCCGGAUUAACCGUCUCUAUAGGGGACACAGGUGAGGUGAAGUUAAAUUAAUCGAUUUAAUUCAAGGGUUAUAAAUGUCUAAAUGUCUCAGGUCCGCUCUUAACGUCAUUGUUGUGUUUGUGACAACCAAACAUCGUGUUUUGUUGCAGUUAAUCAUCACAUAUGAAGACAGUUCAAGUGAACUUCGCCCAGAAUUGAUUUCCUCAAAUAUAUCACAACAUGGCACCGGCUUCCGGAUUGUACGUACAAGUGGAAGUGACCUCAUCACGCAAAAACAAAGGGGACGUUGGCGUGGCAAAAUAAAAGGUGUUUGAGGUGUGGGCUCCGGCGCGGCUGUACCUGGGGGAAAGAUACACCUACAGACAACACACGGUCACCUGACUUACUAACACAAAACAACAACAAAAACGGCUGCAUCUACUCUAGCCGAAGCGCUGCAGGGAGACUACAGGGGACACGACGGCGGCGUUAGUGCUGAGUUUCCUGAACACACAGCGAGACCUGAGUCAAAA